AUUGAACGCUGGCGGCAGGCCUAACACAUGCAAGUCGAAUGGUAACAGGAAACAGCUUGCUGUUUCGCUGACGAGUGGCGGACGGGUGAGUAAUGUCUGGGAAACUGCCUGAUGGAGGGGGAUAACUACUGGAAACGGUAGCUAAUACCGCAUAACGUCGCAAGACCAAAGAGGGGGACCUUCGGGCCCCUUGCCAUCAGAUGUGCCCAGAUGGGAUUAGCUAGUAGGUGGGGUAACGGCUCACCUAGGCGACGAUCCCUAGCGGGUCUGAGAGGAUGACCAGCCACACUGGAACUGAGACACGGUCCAGACUCCUACGGGAGGCAGCAGUGGGGAAUAUUGCACAAUGGGGGCAAGCCUGAUGCAGCCAUGCCGCGUGUAUGAAGAAGGCCUUCGGGUUGUAAAGUACUUUCAGCGGGGAGGAAGGGAGUAAAGUUAAUACCUUUGCUCAUUGACGUUACCCGCAGAAGAAGCACCGGCUAACUCCGUG
rnacentral:rRNA from 1 species